UUUUCUGGGCUGUAAACGUGCUGCAUAAACACGCCGUGCAAUGGAUUGUGGACUCCGUGGAAAGAGCCCUCUUCCAGCAGGCUGGGAACACGUCACCGAUGGGUCCAUGACCUGCCGGGAUGUGAAGGUGCUGUUUUAGGGGUGUGUGUGGAGAAGCCAGAGAAUACGCAGGAAGCUUGUGUCGACUUCGUGUUCAGCCUUCACUCUUCUCCUUGGGCCAAGGUGACUGAGCUCUGCCCAGACUUGCUGCAAUGCCCCACUCCCUCUGCUUAAUUCCUUGUAAAUAAAACAGAGCUCCCUCUUCCCUGCA
rnacentral:lncRNA from 12 species